GAUGAACGCUGGCGGCGUGCCUAAUACAUGCCAGUCGAGCGAACAGAUAAGGAGCUUGCUCCUUUGACGUUAGCGGCGGACGGGUGAGUAACACGUGGGUAACCUACCUAUAAGACUGGAAUAACUCCGGGAAACCGGGGCUAAUGCCGGAUAACAUUUAGAACCGCAUGGUUCUAUAGUGAAAGAUGGUUUUGCUAUCACUUAUAGAUGGACCCGCGCCGUAUUAGCUAGUUGGUAAGGUAACGGCUUACCAAGGCAACGAUACGUAGCCGACCUGAGAGGGUGAUCGGCCACACUGGAACUGAGACACGGUCCAGACUCCUACGGGAGGCAGCAGUAGGGAAUCUUCCGCAAUGGGCGAAAGCUUGACGGAGCAACGCCGCGUGAGUGAUGAAGGUCUUCGGAUCGUAAAACUCUGUUAUUAGGGAAGAACAAAUGUGUAAGUAACUGUGCACGUCUUGACGGUACCUAAUCAGAAAGCCACGGCUAACUACGUG
rnacentral:rRNA from 1 species